GACGAACGCUGGCGGUGUGCUUAACACAUGCAAGUCGAACGGUAAGGCCCUUUCGGGGGUACACGAGUGGCGAACGGGUGAGUAACACGUGAGUAACCUGCCCUCAUCUCUGGGAUAACAGUCGGAAACGGUUGCUAAUACUGGAUAUGAGCCUGCAAGGCAUCUUGUGGGUUGGAAAGAUUUUUUGGUUGGGGAUGGACUCGCGGCCUAUCAGCUUGUUGGUGAGGUAGUGGCUCACCAAGGCUUCGACGGGUAGCCGGCCUGAGAGGGCGACCGGCCACAUUGGGACUGAGAUACGGCCCAAACUCCUACGGGAGGCAGCAGUGGGGAAUAUUGCACAAUGGACGGAAGGCUGAUGCAGCAACGCCGCGUGCGGGAUGACGGCCUUCGGGUUGUAAACCGCUUUCAAUUGUGACGAAGCUUUUUGUGACGGUAGCAGUAGAAGAAGCACCGGCUAACUACGUG
rnacentral:rRNA from 1 species